UGAGAGUCUGUGGCUCAGCCAUCGUGACUAUGUAACCAGUAUUGGUCGGUGGCCCAAGGUCUCUCUCCUUUCAGGGUUCAACCUCCAACCUUAUUUCUGCUUCCUUCAUGUUGGAAUUCACACUGUGAGUGCUGCUACCAUAUUCUGCGUUGGAUGUGAGUUCUCAAGUUCUGGUCCAUGGGGAAUGGGCAAGUGAAGAUGAGAAUUGCAAAAAACUAUACUCCGACCAAUAGAAUUGUUGUCAUCCUUUCUCUACGACUCCAAGAGAAACUUUAUACUGGAGGAAGAAUAUUCUACCACUUUGGGAUGCUUCCAAAGAAAUGGGAUACCAAAGGAGUGAACUUCAGGUCAUUGGAAGUGGCCAAGCUGGAGGGCGACCUAUGGAGACAUGACCUUCAGUUCUUCCUGAGAUCGAUAAAGCUUAAAAGAAAAGAAAAAGCCAACUCAGCUUGUGCGUGGAUCCUGGACCUUGCUCUAAUACAGACCCCGCUCCUGGAGUGUAAGCCAUGCUUGACGGCUCAGCUUUCUUGUCACUAAUGAGUCUCGGCUUGGGUCAUGGAAAAACUGAAGAUGCAUUAGAUCAUCAAAGAAAAUGGCACAAACAACCCUGCAAAAGAAAGGAUCUUCUUCCAGAUUAAAUCUCUUAUAAUAUAACUCCUCUAUUGGAUGGUUAAUUCUAACUAUCCAAUGUCUCCCUUUUUUUUUCUUUAAUUUACCAGCCCGGGCAACAUGGUGAAACCCCAUUUUAACAAAAAAUACAAAAAAAUUAGUUGGGGGUGGUGGCAUGCGCCUUUAGUCCCAGCUACUCAGGAGGCUGAGCCUGGGAGGUCGAGACUGCAGUGAACCGUGAUCAUGCCACUGCACUCCAGCCUGGGUGACAGAAUGAGACCCUGUCUCAAAAAAAAGAAAAGUUAACAGCCUUUGCCAGAACUUU
rnacentral:lncRNA from 1 species